CAGAUGGCAGUUCCAGUUGCUUACAUUGCAGCACUCUGUUUAAGAGUCUAGACUUCUAAAGUUUAUACAACCAAUUAAGGCUGAUUUUUAGAAUCUUUAAACAGCAACAGCCAGAAAACAUCAGUAUGACUACUCCAAGAUGAUUAAGAAAUCUGUGCAUCAAUUGGAAAGGUAAAUCUCCUUGUCAGUUGACAGUCAUCAGGCCAACAGAAGCCGCAUAUUCUUUAUUAUUCCAAGGUCUGAUAGUUAAGGAAUGCUUCACUCUUAGUGGAAAUGCAGAUCUGAAAACACACUGCUAAAGUAUCUGUCUUUUCCUAUUGGGUGGAUGACUUCUCUCCAAGUUUGGGGAACAUUUGACAACCAUUCAAAACCACAGGGCUUUAACAGAGAAUAAAAAUAAUCCUCUUACCUGAGGUGGGAUCAGUUUACUUUUUUUCCUUCUUCCAGAGUUAUUGAGGCAAGUUUCGCUAAGCAUAAAUGUCUGAUGAUAAGUACCUUUUAAUAGUGUCAUUAUGUGGUCAACUUUGCUCAAAUUUAGGAAAAUUUGACAUUUACAGAGCUAAUAGCCCUUUCAAUGUGCAUUGAUACUUCUAUUAAAUUUAACGACUUUAAAUCAGUGAUGGAAGGAAGAACGUUACAAUCUUUGGAAAAAGGGCUACAAAUACUUGCAACUACUUCUUUUUGAUAGUCCCUUCUCAGAACUGUUGCAUGCAAUGAAAGGCAUCGGCCUUAUAAGGGAGCUUUAUGGCCAUGCAAAUAAUUGGAGAUAGCACCCUCCAAUAAAAACAUCUGGCAUUCCCUCCUCCAAUCCACCUUCCAAACACCAAGCUUUCCCUUGUGGAUGGAACUUAUGCCAAAUUAAAAAAAUUCAAUUGA